UGUCCCUUAAUCGAUAGUCCGCGUUUUAAUUGUUCUUAAUUUUGUUGUCAGUAUGUAUACCGCCGUUAAAAGUUUAUUUUAUUAGGAUUUUUAUUUACUAAUUUUUUAAUUAGAAUUUAUUUCAGGUCAAGGUGCAGCUUAUAUUUAAGUGGAGAUGAAUUACAAUAUUUAUUGAGUAGUAUGGAUUUGAUUUUGAAAUUUUUAAUGAAAGUGGAUUUGUUAGUAAUUUUAUUUAUAUUGGUUUUUUGAUUUUAGCUCUAAAAUAAGUACACAUCGCCCGUCG
rnacentral:rRNA from 1 species